UACGAAGGGGGCUAGCGUUGCCCGGAUUGACUGGGCGUAAAGGGCGCGUAGGCGGUUCGUACAGUCAGACGUGAAAUUCCUGGGCUCAACCUGGGGCUGCGUUUGAUACGUGCGGACUUGAGUGCGGAAGAGGGUCGUGGAAUUCCCAGUGUAGAGGUGAAAUUCGUAGAUAUUGGGAAGAACACCGGUGGCGAAGGCGGCGACCUGGUCCGAUACUGACGCUGAGGCGCGAAAGCGUGGGGAGCAAACAGG
rnacentral:rRNA from 1 species